GACGAACGCUGGCGGCGUGCUUAACACAUGCAAGUCGAACGGAAAGGCCCCCUUGUGGGGUACUCGAGUGGCGAACGGGUGAGUAACACGUGAGUAACCUACCCUUGACUUUGGGAUAACUUCAGGAAACUGGGGCUAAUACCGGAUAGGAGCUCCUGCUGCAUGGUGGGGGUUGGAAAGUUUCGGCGGUUGGGGAUGGACUCGCGGCUUAUCAGCUUGUUGGUGGGGUAGUGGCUCACCAAGGCUUUGACGGGUAGCCGGCCUGAGAGGGUGACCGGCCACAUUGGGACUGAGAUACGGCCCAGACUCCUACGGGAGGCAGCAGUAGGGAAUAUUGCACAAUGGGCGGAAGCCUGAUGCAGCAACGCCGCGUGCGGGAUGACGGCCUUCGGGUUGUAAACCGCUUUCGCCUGUGACGAAGCGUGAGUGACGGUAAUGGGUAAAGAAGCACCGGCUAACUACGUG
rnacentral:rRNA from 1 species